rnacentral:sRNA from 1 species
GCUGGGUGUGGUGGUGCACGCCUGUAAUCCCGGCAGCUGGAGAGGCCUAGGCAAGAGGAUCAUGAGUUCAAAGCCAGCCUCAGGAAAAGCUAGGCGCUAAGCAACUCAAUGAGACCCUGUCUAAA